UACGUAGGGUGCAAGCGUUAAUCGGAAUUACUGGGCGUAAAGCGUGCGCAGGCGGUUGUGUAAGACAGAUGUGAAAUCCCCGGGCUCAACCUGGGAACUGCAUUUGUGACUGCACAGCUGGAGUGCGGCAGAGGGGGAUGGAAUUCCGCGUGUAGCAGUGAAAUGCGUAGAUAUGCGGAGGAACACCGAUGGCGAAGGCAAUCCCCUGGGCCUGCACUGACGCUCAUGCACGAAGCGUGGGGAGCAAACAGGA
rnacentral:rRNA from 1 species